UACGUAGGGUGCAAGCGUUAAUCGGAAUUACUGGGCGUAAAGCGUGCGCAGGCGGUUUGUAAGUUUGUCGUGAAAUCCCCGGGCUCAACCUGGGAAUUGCAUUUGUGACUGCACGGCUAGAGUGUGUCAGAGGGGGGUAGAAUUCCACGUGUAGCAGUGAAAUGCGUAGAGAUGGUGGACGGAAUGACCGAUGGCGAAGGCAGCCCCUGGGAUAACACUGACGCUCAUGCA
rnacentral:rRNA from 1 species